rnacentral:rRNA from 1 species
AUUGAACGCUGGCGGCAUGCUUUACACAGGCAAGUCGAACGGUAACAGGGUGCUUGCACCGCUGACGAGUGGCGAAGGGGUGAGUACUGCGCCGGAACGUACCGAGUAGUGGGGGAUAACGCAGCGAAAGUUGUGCUAAUACCGCAUCCGGACCGAGGUAGACAGUGGGGGACCUGAGCGACUGACGCCAUUCGGGCGGCCGACGUCUGAUUAGCUAGUAGGUGAGGUAAAGGCUCACCUAGGCGACGAUCAGUAGCGGGUCUGAGAGGAUGAUCCGCCACACUGGGACUGAAACACGGCCCAGACUCCUACGGGAGGCAGCAGUGGGGAAUUUUGGACAAUGGGCGAAAGCCUGAUCCAGCCAUGCCGCGUGUCUGAAGAAGGCCUUCGGGUUGUAAAGGACUUUUGUCAGGGAGGAAAUCCAUAGUGCUAAUAACACUGGGGGAUGACAGUACCUGAAUAAUAAGCACCGGCUAACUACGUGCCAGCAGCCGCCGUAA